AGUGAAGUUGCCGGGGAAAUGGACGUGGAAGUGAAGCAGCAGCCAUUGUACUCUGAAGUUCAGUGUUGUACCACCGGUGCUGAUAAGCAACAGUGAGCUCACUGCCACUGGUUGCUUACGAGAUGAGGGUCACUGAAAGCCGACGACCUUCAUGAGGUUCUGCAUCACCUCUCUGGUGGCUUCACCCCAGCAGCUGGGAUGGAUCUCAGGACCUGAUCCGACUGCUGAGACAUAAACUCUCUCUGUUGCACCAGAACUGAAUAGGAGCCCCAGAAUUGCAAUGCCUACAACAGCCAUCUUCAAACCAUGAGGGGAACCAGUCUUAGAGAAGAUGACACCUUAGAAACCAGAGUAGGGAUCUAGGAAGAAACUGAGACCUUGGUGCUACCACAAAGCUGCUAGACCAACCAAUUAAGAAGGCUUUGUCGUCUCUGGAUGUCGUCUCUGGUACAUGAAAUAACAAUCCUCUUUAUUGAAAAGGCUGACCAUAUUGUACAUGUGUAUGUGUUGCACAAGCCUGUGGGCCCCGAACUUGAGUAUGAGGUCUGUGACAGCAGAAACAAUGUCUCAUCCAUAGCACACACUUCUUAAAUCUAAGAGCUAUACUAUAUCACACCAGACCAUACAUACCAUACCAUACGAUACUACUAUAUUGUAAUGCCUGCUCUACUAUAAGGUCUCAAUAAAUACUUUUUAUUAAGAGGGAA